rnacentral:siRNA from 1 species
GCGACAAUCAGUUCUCGGUUGCCA